UACAGAGGGGGCAAGCGUUGUUCGGAAUUACUGGGCGUAAAGGGCGCGUAGGCGGCCCGCUAAGUCGAACGUGAAAUCCCCGAGCUCAACUCGGGAACUGCGUCCGAUACUGGUGGGCUUGAAUCCGGGAGAGGGAUGCGGAAUUCCAGGUGUAGCGGUGAAAUGCGUAGAUAUUGGGAGGAACACCAGUGGCGAAGGCGGCUCGCUGGACCGGUUCUGACGCUGAGGCGCGAAAGCGUGGGGAGCAAACGGG
rnacentral:rRNA from 1 species